rnacentral:lncRNA from 10 species
GUGAGCUGGAGAGGGGAGGACUAGGUGUGGGAAACAGUGAAUAUUGAGUCAGAGAGAAAAAAGAGGCUUCAAGUGUCCUCCCCAGUGAGGAGGCCUCCGCAGAAUGACCCGAUGAAGAGACCUCCUCUCUCUGAAUGCAGGGAGGGCUAGAGAUGCAGAUAUGCAUAAGCGCAUGGUGCUGAGGAUGGAGUGACUGAGCCCUUGACUGCAGCUCCCUUCAGAGACUGCAGUUUACUGGCUGCACACAGUCUGGUGUGGGGAGGACAAUUUUUCCCUGUGAAGCCUGCCAGGAUAUAAAGAUGUUUAAUUGGACAACCUUAUUCAUUCAGCUGUGACUUGCAGAAGGAUCUGAGCAGGUUUCAGAUAGUAGCUGAACAUGGCAUAGAAAUUUAGGAAUUUCUCUUCCUCAACAACCCCACCUGACACAAGCAUCAGCCACGGUGAGCUUGGCGAUGAUCUCCCUUCCCCUUUGCUACGUGCUGAGAUGUCUAUGCAGGCAAGUCUGAGGUUAGCCUCCCAGAGUUUCGGGGAAAAGCACACAGGCAUUCCUGAACACUCUGAGAGGUGCAGAAAAGUGGCUGAGCAGACAGACACAAGGUCUGGCAUGGAGGCAGAGGAUCACAGCGGAGCAUGGACCUAACAGCUGGAUGCCGUGUGGUGAUAUCACUAUCAGCAGAAGAUGCAACAAGACCGGGGCCACUGCUCAAGGCCAGAGAAACAGGUUCAUGGAAAACCAGUUUAGCAUCACUAACAAGCCACCUUACGGGUGUAGAUAAAGGACUGGCGCCACAACGUCUAUAUGGACUAAACUUUUCAUUUUCAUCACUUUUUGCUUUUGACACCUCCUCCUGCAUGAGGGACAACACCAUUCAGCUGUUGGGAGACAACUGUCCUCGAGUCUCAUGUGUUCCUGCAUUUGUUGUGAGGAGAGGCUCUAACGAUCUUUGCUUCAGACUAUCUUUCCAAGGAUAUUCGUAUGGUGAACAGCACUGAAGGGUAGAGAUGGUGUCUCCCACCAGAGCAGAGGAGAAAUUUGUCUUCUGGCCAGUGUAAUAUAGAUACCUUCCUAGAGGGAAAAGGGUGGGCCUAUUUGCCUGCACCCCAUUAGAAAAGACUGGAUUUUAUACGCUCUGGGUUCCUUGGCUCUUCAUCAUCCUUGUGGGAUUUGUGGGCAUGGAGAACUGAGAACUGGUGCACUCAUGAAGGUUAUGAAGAUCAUGCUGUCUUGUAUUCCAUAAGUGAUAAAGUUCUUUGUCACCAACCCAGAAGUGUUCUGUCUUUUGCCAGAAUCUAUUAAGCUGAGGCGGGCUA